UGAGUACACUUUAAAUCCUUUAACCACAACCAAUUGGAGGGCAAGUCUGGUGCCAGCAGCCGCGGUAAUUCCAGCUCCAAUAGCGUAUAUUAAAGUUGUUGCGGUUAAAAAGCUCGUAGUUCGAGUUCAGUUCCGGACUGGCUGGGGAGGUCACCGCCCGGUGCUUCCCCGUCAGGCUCCGAACAGCUUUUAUAAACUAAAAGCCAAGUCGGUUUCGCCGGGGUGCUCUUCACCGAGUGUCCCGCGCGGCCGGCCAGUUUACCUUGAAUAAAUGAGAGUGCUCAAAGCAGGCUACUCUUAAAAAUAAAGCCCGAAUGUUACCUGCAUGGAAUGAUGGAAGAUGAAUCUCGGUUCCAUUUUAUUGGCUCUGGGAAUCCGAGUUAAUGAUAAACAGGGACGGUCGGGGGCAUCCGUACUACGACGCGAGAGGUGAAAUUCAGUGACCGUCGUAGGACGAACAACAGCGAAAGCAUUUGCCAAGAAUGUCUUCGUUGAUCAAGAACGAAAGUUAGAGGAUCGAAGGCGAUCAGAUACCGCCCUAGUUCUAACCCUAAACGAUGCUGACUAGCAAUCCGCCGUCGUUAUUCCCAUGACGUGGCGGGACGCCCCCGGGAAACCAUAAGUCUUUGAGUUCCGGGGGUAGUAUGGUUGCAAAACUGAAACUUAAAGGAAUUGACGGAAGGGCACCACCAGGAGUGGAGCCUGCGGCUUAAUUUGACUCAACACGGGAAACCUCACCAGGCCCGGACACCAGAAGGAUUGACAGAUUAAGAGCUCUUUCUCGAUUUGGUGGGUGGUGGUGCAUGGCCGUUCUUAGUUGGUGGAGUGAUUUGUCUGGUUAAUUCCGGUAACGAACGAGACUCUGGCCUACUAAAUAGUCGACGGGCGUUUUUGUGCAUGGGCCCCGUUCGAUUAUGUCUUCUUAGAGGGAUGAGCAGCGAGUAUAGCUGCAGGAGAUUGAGCAAUAACAGGUCUGUGAUGCCCUUAGAUGUCCUGGGCCGCACGCGCGCUACACUGAAUGGGUUAGCGGGUUCUCCUUCUCCGAGAGGAGCGGGAAAUCGCGUGAAAACCAUUCGUGAUAGGGAUUGGGGCUUGCAAUUGUUUCCCAUGAACGAGGAAUUCCCAGUAAGCGCAAGUCAUCAGCUUGCGUUGAUUAAGUCCCUGCCCUUUGUACACACCGCCCGUCGCUACUACCGAUUGAAUGAUUUAGUGAGGCCUUCGGACUGGCGGUCUUGGACUGGGUUCCAUUUGCUAUCUAACUCCAGCGAUGGGGGGCAGUGGACUCGCCAUGACGAGACGGAAAGAUGUCCAAACUUGAUCAUUUAGAGGAAGUAAAAGUCGUAACAAGGUUUCC
rnacentral:rRNA from 1 species